GACGAACGCUGGCGGCGUGCUUAACACAUGCAAGUCGAACGGAAAGGCCCUGCUUUUGUGGGGUGCUCGAGUGGCGAACGGGUGAGUAACACGUGAGUAACCUGCCCCUGACUUUGGGAUAACUUCAGGAAACUGGGGCUAAUACCGGAUAGGAGCUCCUGCUGCAUGGUGGGGGUUGGAAAGUUUCGGCGGUUGGGGAUGGACUCGCGGCUUAUCAGCUUGUUGGUGGGGUAGUGGCUUACCAAGGGUUUGACGGGUAGCCGGCCUGGGAGGGGGAACGGGCACAUUGGGACUGGGGUGAGGCCCGGACUCCUACGGGAGGCAAGGGGGGGGAAUAUUACACAAAGGGGCGGAGCCAGGAGCAACAAAGCCGGGUGCGGGAAGACGGGCUUCGGGGUGGAAACCGCUGUCGCCUGUGACGAAGCGUGAGUGACGGUAAUGGGUAAAGAAGCACCGGCUAACUACGUG
rnacentral:rRNA from 1 species